ACAUGCAAGUCGAACGGAGACGAUCAUAGGUUGGUAGGAGGGCGUCGGAGCGGCGGACGAGUGAGUAACCGCGUGAGAUUGUACCCUGAUGGGGACAACCCGGGGAAACUCGGGCUAAUACCGCAUACGCCCUACGGGGUAAGGCAGGAGACCUUCGGCCUUGCGCUGAUGGAUGAGCUCGCGUCGGAUUAGCUUGUUGGUGAGGUAAAGGCUCACCAAGGCGACGAUCCGUAGGUGGUCUGAGAGGAUGAUCAGCCACACCGGGAUUGAGACACGGCCCGGACUCCUACGGGAGGCAGCAGUGGGGAAUCUUGGACAAUGGGGGCAACCCUGAUCCAGCCAUGCCGCGUGUGUGAAGAAGGCCUUCGGGUUGUAAAGCACUUUCAGCAGGGAGGAAG
rnacentral:rRNA from 1 species